GAUGAACGCUGCGGCGUGCCUAAUACAUGCAAGUCGAGCGAACAGAUAAGGAGCUUGCUCCUUUGACGUUAGCGGCGGACGGGUGAGUAACACGUGGAUAACCUACCUAUAAGACUGGGAUAACUUCGGGAAACCGGAGCUAAUACCGGAUAACAUAUUGAACCGCAUGGUUCAAUAGUGAAAGGCGGCUUUGCUGUCACUUAUAGAUGGAUCCGCGCCGUAUUAGCUAGUUGGUAAGGUAACGGCUUACCAAGGCAACGAUACGUAGCCGACCUGAGAGGGUGAUCGGCCACACUGGAACUGAGACACGGUCCAGACUCCUACGGGAGGCAGCAGUAGGGAAUCUUCCGCAAUGGGCGAAAGCCUGACGGAGCAACGCCGCGUGAGUGAUGAAGGUCUUCGGAUCGUAAAACUCUGUUAUCAGGGAAGAACAAAUGUGUAAGUAACUGUGCACAUCUUGACGGUACCUGAUCAGAAAGCCACGGCUAACUACGUGCCAGCAGCCGCGGUAAUACGUAGGUGGCAAGCGUUAUCCGGAAUUAUUGGGCGUAAAGCGCGCGUAGGCGGUUUUUUAAGUCUGAUGUGAAAGCCCACGGCUCAACCGUGGAGGGUCAUUGGAAACUGGAAAACUUGAGUGCAGAAGAGGAAAGUGGAAUUCCAUGUGUAGCGGUGAAAUGCGCAGAGAUAUGGAGGAACACCAGUGGCGAAGGCGACUUUCUGGUCUGUAACUGACGCUGAUGUGCGAAAGCGUGGGGAUCAAACAGGAUUAGAUACCCUGGUAGUCCACGCCGUAAACGAUGAGUGCUAAGUGUUAGGGGGUUUCCGCCCCUUAGUGCUGCAGCUAACGCAUUAAGCACUCCGCCUGGGGAGUACGACCGCAAGGUUGAAACUCAAAGGAAUUGACGGGGACCCGCACAAGCGGUGGAGCAUGUGGUUUAAUUCGAAGCAACGCGAAGAACCUUACCAAAUCUUGACAUCCUUUGACCGCUCUAGAGAUAGAGUCUUCCCCUUCGGGGGACAAAGUGACAGGUGGUGCAUGGUUGUCGUCAGCUCGUGUCGUGAGAUGUUGGGUUAAGUCCCGCAACGAGCGCAACCCUUAAGCUUAGUUGCCAUCAUUAAGUUGGGCACUCUAAGUUGACUGCCGGUGACAAACCGGAGGAAGGUGGGGAUGACGUCAAAUCAUCAUGCCCCUUAUGAUUUGGGCUACACACGUGCUACAAUGGACAAUACAAAGGGCAGCUAAACCGCG
rnacentral:rRNA from 1 species